rnacentral:rRNA from 1 species
GACGAACGCUGGCGGCGUGCUUUACACAUGCAAGUCGAACGGUGAAGGUGGAGCUUGCUCCGCCGGAUCAGUGGCGAACGGGUGAGUAACACGUGGGCAACCUGCCCCUAACUUUGGGAUAACUACUCGAAAGAGUAGCUAAUACCGGAUACGAAGUCUGUAGGCAUCUACGGAUUUGGAAAGUUUUUCGGUUAGGGAUGGGCCCGCGGCCUAUCAGCUUGUUGGUGAGGUAGUGGCUCACCAAGGCGACGACGGGUAGCCGGCCUGAGAGGGCGACAGGCCACACUGGGACUGAGACACGGCCCAGACCCCUACGGGAGGCAGCAGUGGGGAAUAUUGCGCAAUGGGCGAAAGCCUGACGCAGCAACGCCGCGUGCGGGAUGAAGGCCUUCGGGUUGUAAACCGCUUUCAGCAGGGAAGAAGCGAAAGUGACGGUACCUGCAGAAGAAGCACCGGCUAACUACGUGCCAGCAGCCGCCGCCG